UAUGAAAAAUAUUAAUAAUAGGAGAGGGAAAAUAAUAAUAUUAAAUCCUUUUCAAAACGCAGUUUAUUCAGAACCCUAGGGUGCAUGUAAAUUCUAAUUUCCAAGAUUAGUGAACGGGAUUGCCAUGGCCUCAACUUCAGCCAAUGCCAAGCUUAACAAGGGGCUCACAGCGAACACCAGAGAAGAAGGCGAGCUCUCUUCAUCGGGCGACGAGGGCGACGUAAAUCCUGUUGGCUCUGUCGCACCAUGUAUUGGUGCUGUUGCCGCUGCUGGAGUGACCCUUUUUUCAAAUUUGACAAGCACACGCACGCAAGGUACUCAGACUGUGAAGAAUGUUUCUGCCAAUAAUCUGUCAAGCUCUGUUGAUAUUCGAUCUCAAACUUCCAUUCAGCCAACCAAUCAAAAGAGUUUUGGGAAAGGUCGAGUAAAGUUUAAAUCUGGUAAUCCUAGAUGGUUUCCUACUUCAGGGUCGAACAAUAACCUUGUGAUAAGCUUCUCCGAUGGUGACAGUGGCAGUGAGUCCGAUGAUUACCAGCAAGAAAAAACAGCUGCAACUAUAACUAACACAACUGGAUUGGAUAGCUAUGGACAACCAACUACUUUGGCAUUGAUGAAACCUAACAAAAUACAUCAAAAUGCCAAAAAUGUAAACAAAAUAAUACCCAAGUUAUCUUCAAAUCAUAUAUAUGUCUCGUCAGAGACAAAAAUUCAUGGAGGAGCCAGUUCCAGGGCUGCUGAGCGCAGAUCUCAAGUUAGGAAAUUUAGAAACCCUAACAAAAAUUUAGGAAACCAAGAGCAUGGCUUGGAACUAGGAGUGGGUUUGAAAAACAGUAAGCUUGAGGACUUGAGGCAGCAGAUAGCACUUCGUGAAAAUGAACUAAAGCUCAAGGCUUCCCAGCAAAAUAAAGAUUUGGCUAUUGUACAAUGCAGGGAUUAUCAUGCAAUGAAUAUAGGCAAUGAAGCAGGAAGGAAACAUCAAUCACCUUCUGCAGAUGUUGGACAGUUGAAACGAAAAGAACCGGACAAGAAACGCUUGAAAGUAAAUGGAUCUUAUUCUCACAAUAUGACUUCAGAUAGCCGUCAAGAAAUUCCUGCUGCAAUAUUAAUUACUCCUGUGGAAGAGCCUACACUGGAGAACAGUACGUGUGGCAGAAAUAAGGUUGAUCGUAUCCAGAAAGACACUCCUUUAAGCAGAAUAGAAUCAAGCAUUGUUAAGCAGCACAAGCAGGAUGAUAAAUGUAUUGAUGUUCUACCAGAAAAUAGACCUAGAUUGGUGAAAGAUGGCCUUUUCUGCAGUUGCUGAUAUCAAUUCUAGUGGCAAUCAAUCUGAUAGGGAUAGAAGGCUGGAUCAUGUUGAUUUAAACCAAAUCACAGCACUGGUAAAACAGAUGUCCAGUUCUUUGCCAAAAAAUUUAGUGAAUAAUGCAAACUUGUUGAACUGUCUGGGUGAUACCAAUGUCUCAGGACAUGGCAAUAUGAAUGUACAAUCAAUACUUGCCAUGGAGGAAUUGCUGGACAAAGAGCUGGAGGAAGCACAAGAGCACCGGCGCAUUUGUGAAAUUGAAGAAGGAAAUGCUCUUAAAGCUUAUCGUAAAGCCCAGAGGGCUUUGAUUGAGGCUAAUAUGAGAUGCACAAAACUUUAUCGUCAGAGAGAACUGUCUUCAGCCUGCUUUAAGUCUUUUCUGAUGGAUGAAUCUGACUUACUGUGGUCUUCUAGGCUGCAUGAACCUGUUGGGAAUAGGUUGGAUUUGUCAAAUCAUGUG